UCCGUAGGGUGCGAGCGUUAAUCGGAAUUACUGGGCGUAAAGCGUGCGCAGGCGGCUUGCCAAGUCAGAUGUGAAAGCCCCGGGCUCAACCCGGGAACUGCGUUUGAAACUGGCAGGCUAGAGUUUGGCAGAGGGGGGUGGAAUUCCACGUGUAGCAGUGAAAUGCGUAGAGAUGUGGAGGAACACCGAUGGCGAAGGCAGCCCCCUGGGCCAAAACUGACGCUCAGGCACGAAAGCGUGGGGAGCAAACAGG
rnacentral:rRNA from 1 species